rnacentral:lncRNA from 1 species
GGGAAAGAGGAUCAUCCUAAAGUUACCCAAGUGGAGUUACCGUGAGAGAUUAACCUUGUUACAGCCUUAUCCUGAUCAGCCCGUUGAGGGAAGAAGACCAGCGCGUCUCUAGCUGUUCCAGGCUGUAAAGCAAACAGCAUCUUGGUCUUAGAUGCCAAGAUACCAAAGCGUGUAAGCUCUCCCAUUGGAUCAUUUCAAAUGGACGCUCCUCUUCCCCUUUGACUCCACAUGCUUAUGCUUUCCCUAAUGUUUAACCUAGUGUCUCUCUCCCUUACUAUAUAACUUGUAAUCUGAUUGAUUAAUAAUAUACACGAGUUUAUGAGUCUCUCUCUCUCUAGUUCAUCAUGAUAAUCUCAUACACUUUCUCUUAAACACUCUAAUCUCUCUUGAAUCUCUCUUAGACUUCUCAAUACCUUUCAUAUUCUCUAAAGUCAUAUGGUAUCAGAGCCAGGUUGGCUGUGGUAUUGAGAUCGUGUGUUCUUCAGCUUCAGAUAAAAGUUCUUUCUUGUGAGAUUCUAAACCAAGUCCAAGCAAAUCAAGAUGGGAGGAAACAAGGUGAUUACGGUUCCGAUUUCACUCAAGGGUGGGGGAAACUACCUGUUGUGGUCUAGGCUUGUGAAGACAGCCAUUGGGAGGCUAGGGUUAUGGGGUCACAUCACAGAUGAAGCUCCAGCACCAGUGGCCAGUGAGGAAGAAGGUGGAAGAGAGCUCGCGGUUGCUGAUGGAAAGAAGUGGAUUCAAGAUGACUUGAUGGUGCUAUCUGUGCUGCAAGGAUCUCUUGAAGAACAUCUCUUGGAAGCCUACAGCUACUGUGAGACUCCAAAACACCUGUGGGAGGUACUCCAAAAGACUUUUGGGAACGUUACCAAUCUGAACCGUGUGUAUGAGAUCAAGAAAGCUAUCAACACACUGGUACAAGAUGGAGAGGAGUUCACCAAGCAUUUGGGCAAGUAUAGAUCCUUGUGGUCUGAGCUUGAAUCAUUGAGGCCAAGCACGGCUGAUCAAGAGCUACUCAUGGGGAGGAGGGAGCAGGAUCAGGUGUUUGGAUUGCUGUUGACUUUGGAUCCUCCGUUCAAUGAUGUGAUCAAACACAUGCUGAGGAUGCCAAGUCUUCCAUCCAUGGAGGAAGUGUGUAUUCAAUGAUGUGAUCAAACACAUGUUGAGGAUGCCAAGUCUUCCAUCCAUGGAGGAAGUGUGUGCGCAGCUCCAGAAGGAGGAAGGAUCUCUUGGUCUCUUCGGAAGCAAGGGAGACUUAGCUCUAGCCAACAAGGCUGAGGAAGGAGCGCAAGCUAACCGUGCAGCAUACAAGACUGAUGAGAGGAAGUAUGGUAAUGAGAGGAGGUUUGGAGGCAACUGUGAUCACUGCAAGAAGCCGGGACACAAGAGGAGCCAGUGCUGGAUCCUUCAUCCCCAUCUCAAGCCGGCCAAGUUCAACAAGGAUCGAGAAGCCAGAGCUAACCUGUCUACUGAAGCAAGUGAAGCCGGUCCAUCAGGAGCAGGCUCAAGUGCACAAGUGGGUGAAAGCGCAGGCAAGGCAAUGGCAACUCACUACACGGCCGCAAAGAGUUUGGAGCAUGAAGUGAUCCGCAAAUCUGACAUUGAUGCCCUCAUCAAAGCUCUUAAGGAGUCUGGUACAUUCGGAAACACUCUUGGUUACUCUUAUACUGCUCAUAUGAUGCCUAGGAAUGAGAAUAGGUUGAUAGAUAUCAUUGAGAAAUUAAAACUGACAAAUGAAUCACCUAGAACUCAUCUUGCUAGAGGCAUAAAACCAUUGAUUGUUGACUCUGGUGCAUCUCAUCACAUGAUUAGUGAUGAUAGCUUGAUCAAAAACAUAGAACCUGCUCAUGGUCAUGUAAUGAUUGCAAAUGGAGAUAGAAUUCCCAUUAAAGGUGUAGGAGACUUAAAGCUAUUUGAUAAGAACUCUAAAGCAUUUUACAUGCCUGAUUUUACUUCUAAUCUCUUAUCUGUUAAAAGAUGUACCAAUGAUCUACAAUGCAAUGUUAUUUUUAGUCCUAACAAUGUGACAUUUCAGGAUAUUGAGAGCAAUAAGUUGAUCGGACAAGGAGUAACCAAGGGGGAUCUUUAUGUACUUGAAGACAUUAACCCCAUUUCUAGUUGUUUGCUGAGUUCUGUUUUAAGUAAAGGUGCAUUAUGGCAUUCUAGGCUAGGACAUCCACAUGUUAGAGCCUUAAGCUUAAUGUUUCCAGGUGUCAUGUUUAAAAAUAAUGAUUGUGAGGCUUGUAUUUUGGGAAAACAUUGUAAGACUGUCUUUAAAAGAUCUACUACUAUCUAUGAUAAGUGUUUUGAUCUUGUUCACUCUGAUGUAUGGACUGCUCCCUGCUUAUCUAGAGAUAAUUACAAGUACUUUGUCACAUUUAUAGAUGAGAAAUCUAAAUACACCUGGAUAACACUCAUUAAAACAAAGGAUAGGGUUCUUGAUGCAUUUAAAAACUUCCAAUCUUAUGUAUCUAACCAGUAUAAUGCCAAGAUUAAGAUUUUCAGGUCUGAUAAUGGUGGAGAAUAUACUGGCAAUGCAUUCAAGAGUCACCUAGCUCAACAUGGGAUUCUAUAUCAGACAAGUUGUCCAUACACUCCUCAACAGAACGGUGUAGCUGAGAGAAAGAAUAGACACCUAAUGGAGGUGGCAAGGUCUAUGAUGUUUCAUACAAGUGUGCCUAAGAGAUUCUGGAGUGAUGCUGUGAUCUCGGCUUGUUAUCUAAUCAAUAGGAUACCAACCAAGAUCCUGGAAGAUCAAGCUCCUUAUGAAGUUUUAAACAGAAGCAAACCUGUGCUGGAUCACUUAAGAGUCUUUGGAUGCGUGUGCUUUGUACUUGUACCCGGGGAGCUAAGGAAUAAGCUAGAAGCAAAGAGCACAAGAGCCAUGUUCAUUGGCUACUCAACGUCACAAAAGGGAUACAAAUGCUAUGAUUCAGAAGCCAGGAGAGUUCUUGUGUCUAGAGAUGUGAAGUUCUUGGAGGAUAAGAGCUUUUAUGGAGAUAGAAAGUGGGAAGAUCUUGAAGAUUUGUCUCAACCAUCUGAUCGAGCUACAAGUCUUAGGCGUGUACUGGAAGGACUUGGAAUCAACAUGUCCCAGGAUCAGCAACCAUCAAAGGAGAAUGAAGCUGAAGAACCAUCACACCAUGAUCAUGAGGGGGGAAAUGAGGCUGAGCCUGAAGAUCAUGAGGAUCAAGACUCAGAUAGUCAUGGUCAAGGUGUGAUACAAAGAGAGGAAGAAUCCAUACAAGAAGAUCAUGUGGAACCAAUUGAACCAAAUGAAGUAGAAAGAGAAGCAGUUCAGCCUACGGUGGUGCAGCCUACGGUGGUGGAGGUGGAACAAGCCCCAUUAAGGAGAAGCACACGGCUGAAGAGAGAUGCUUCCAACUGGGUAAACACGAGAGUGUACUACAAUGCUCAAGCUGUGAAGCAUCCCUCUCAGGCUGUGUGCUCAUUUGCGAGCUACCCAAAGGAACAUUGUGCAUUCAUUACAAGCUUAGAUGAGAGCAGUGUACCAAGAUCAUAUGAAGAAGCAAUGUUACAUGAAGAUUGGAAAGAAUCAGUGGGUGAUGAAGCAAAUGCUAUGAUAAAGAAUGACACUUGGUUUGAAAGUGAGUUACCAAGAGGGAAGAAGGCAGUAACAAGCAAGUGGAUAUUCACUAUCAAGUAUCUACCUGAUGGAACUAUUGAGAGGAAGAAGACAAGACUGGUGGCUAGAGGAUACACUCAAACAUAUGGGGAAGACUACAUUGAUACCUUUGCCCCUGUUGCCAAACUCCAUACCAUAGGAAUUGUACUAUCUCUUGCUGUGAAUCUUGAGUGGGAGCUUUGGCAGAUGGAUGUGAAGAAUGCCUUUCUUCAAGGAGAGCUAGAGGAUGAAGUGUAUAUGUAUCCACCACCGGGUCUAGAGCACCUUGUGAAACCUGGAAAUGUAUUGAGACUCAAGAAGGCUAUCUAUGGGCUGAAGCAAUCUCCUAGAGCAUGGUAUAACAAGCUGAGCACUACCUUAAAUGGGCGUGGGUUCAAGAAGUCUGAAUUGGAUCACACUCUCUUCACUCUCACUACACCCUCAGGUAUCAUCUGUCUACUUGUAUAUGUUGAUGACAUUAUCAUAACAGGUAGUGAUAAGGCUGGUAUAAAAGCCACAAAGGAGUUUUUGAAAUCUGUGUUUGAAAUCAAAGACUUAGGAGAAAUGAAAUACUUCCUUGGAAUUGAGUUGUGUAGAUCUAAGGAAGGAUUGUUCAUUUCCCAAAGGAAGUACACACUUGAUCUUUUGAAAGAUGCAGGUAUACAAGGAGAUAAGACAGCAAAGAUGCCUCUUGAAGAUGGAUACAAGAUUCCACGUGAGGGGGAGAUUGAAGAUAGCAAGGCCUUUCAUGAUCCAAAGCUAUACAGGAAGCUAGUAGGGAAGCUCAUCUACCUCACCAUCACAAGACCAGACAUUUGCUUUGCUGUGAACCAAGUGAGCCAGCAUAUGCAAGUUCCAAAGGAUCAUCACUGGCGCAUGGUGGAGAGACUGCUCUUGUAUCUGAACGGGACAUCAAGCCUUGGAGUUUGGAUGGGAUGCAACAAGAGUACUGAAGUAGUGGGAUAUUGUGAUGCGGAUUGGGCUGGAGAUAGAGCAGACAGAAGAUCAACCACUGGCUACUGUACAUUCAUUGGAGGCAACUUGGUGACUUGGAAGAGCAAGAAGCAGAAAGUGGUGUCUUGUUCAAGUGCUGAAGCUGAGUAUAGAGCAAUGCUGAAGCUUACCAAUGAGUUGGUAUGGAUCAAAGGGAUCUUGAAGCAUUUGGAGAUAGAGCAAGCAACUCCAAUGACUAUGCAUUGUGACAAUCAAGCGGCUAUACACAUUGCAACCAACUCAGUCUUCCAUGAGAGAACCAAGCACAUUGAAGUUGAUUGUCACAAGGUGAGGCAGAUGAUUGUCUUGGGAGUAAUCUUGCCAUGCUAUACAAGGAGUGAGGAUCAGUUAGCUGAUGUCUUUACCAAAGCCGCGAGACAGAAGACCAUGGAGUCCAUUCACAUCAGGCUAGGACUCCUGGAUCUCACACCAAGUGGCUGAGUCCCCUUAGCCAUGAGUUCUUCACUCUUUUUCCCUCAUCAAAGUUUUGUCCCAAUGGGUUUUCUUUGGUGAGGUUUUUAAUGAGGAAGAUCUCAUGGCCUUUCCAAGCUUAGCUUUGCAAGAGUCUAAGCUUGAGGGGGAGUGUUAAAUAAAAGGAGAGAAGAGACAUCAAGGUGAAGGCAUGAAGGGAUGAGAGGAUUCUGAAUAAGGAAUCAGUACAUGAGGGAUGUCCGUACAAGCCAAGGCCGUACAAGUGAGGCCGUACACUUAGGGAAAGGGGAUCAUCCUAAAGUUACCCAAGUGGAGUUACCGUGAGAGAUUAAUCUUGUUACAGCCUAGGGAAAGAGGAUCAUCCUAAAGUUACCCAAGUGGAGUUACCGUGAGAGAUUAUCCUUGUUACAGCCUUAUCCUGAUCAGUCCGUUGAGGGAAGAAGACCAGCGCGUCUCUAGCUGUUCCAGGCUGUAAAGCAAACAGCAUCUUGGUCUUAGAUGCCAAGAUACCAAAGCGUGUAAGCUCUCCCAUUGGAUCAUUUCAAAUGGACGCUCCUCUUCCCCUUUGACUCCACAUGCUUAUGCUUUCCCUAAUGUUUAACCUAGUGUCUCUCUCCCUUACUAUAUAACUUGUAAUCUGAUUGAUUAAUAAUAUACACGAGUUUAUGAGUCUCUCUCUCUCUAGUUCAUCAUGAUAAUCUCAUACACUUUCACUUAAACACUCUAAUCUCUCUUGAAUCUCUCUUAGACUUCUCAAUACCUUUCAUAUUCUCUAAAGUCAUAU